rnacentral:rRNA from 1 species
AACGAACGCUGGCGGCAGGCCUAACACACGCAAGUCGAACGUGAAGCCACCUUCGGGUGGUGGAAAGUGGCAGACGGGUGAGUAACGCGUGGGAACGUGCCUUUCGGUUCGGGAUAACCCAGGGAAACUUGGGCUAAUACCGGAUACGCCCUUCGGGGGAAAGAUUCAUUGCCGAAAGAUCGGCCCGCGUCGGAUUAGCUAGUUGGUGGGGUAAAAGCCUACCAAGGCGACGAUCCGUAGCUGGUCUGAGAGGAUGACCAGCCACACUGGGACUGAGAGACGGCCCAGACUCCUACGGGAGGCAGCAGUGGGGAAUAUUGGACAAUGGGCGCGAGCCUGAUCCAGCCAUGCCGCGUGGGUGAAGAAGGCCCUAGGGUUGUAAACCCCUUUCAGCGGGGAAGAUAAUGACGGUACCCGCAGAAGAAGCCCCGGCUAACUCCGUGCCAGCCGCCGCCGUAAGAC